ACGAGUUCUGAUUAUUGAAAGGUGCUUGCAUCUUGAUUUAAUUUUGAACGAGUGGCGGACGGGUGAGUAACACGUGGGUAACCUGCCCUUAAGUGGGGGAUAACAUUUGGAAACAGAUGCUAAUACCGCAUAAAUCCAAGAACCGCAUGGUUCUUGGCUGAAAGAUGGCGUAAGCUAUCGCUUUUGGAUGGACCCGCGGCGUAUUAGCUAGUUGGUGAGGUAACGGCUCACCAAGGCAAUGAUACGUAGCCGAACUGAGAGGUUGAUCGGCCACAUUGGGACUGAGACACGGCCCAAACUCCUACGGGAGGCAGCAGUAGGGAAUCUUCCACAAUGGACGCAAGUCUGAUGGAGCAACGCCGCGUGAGUGAAGAAGGCUUUCGGGUCGUAAAACUCUGUUGUUGGAGAAGAAUGGUCGGCAGAGUAACUGUUGUCGGCGUGACGGUAUCCAACCAGAAAGCCACGGCUAACUACGUGCCAGCAGCCGCGGUAAUACGUAGGUGGCAAGCGUUAUCCGGAUUUAUUGGGCGUAAAGCGAGCGCAGGCGGUUUUUUAAGUCUGAUGUGAAAGCCCUCGGCUUAACCGAGGAAGUGCAUCGGAAACUGGGAAACUUGAGUGCAGAAGAGGACAGUGGAACUCCAUGUGUAGCGGUGAAAUGCGUAGAUAUAUGGAAGAACACCAGUGGCGAAGGCGGCUGUCUGGUCUGUAACUGACGCUGAGGCUCGAAAGCAUGGGUAGCGAACAGGAUUAGAUACCCUGGUAGUCCAUGCCGUAAACGAUGAAUGCUAGGUGUUGGAGGGUUUCCGCCCUUCAGUGCCGCAGCUAACGCAUUAAGCAUUCCGCCUGGGGAGUACGACCGCAAGGUUGAAACUCAAAGGAAUUGACGGGGGCCCGCACAAGCGGUGGAGCAUGUGGUUUAAUUCGAAGCAACGCGAAGAACCUUACCAGGUCUUGACAUCUUUUGAUCACCUGAGAGAUCAGGUUUCCCCUUCGGGGGCAAAAUGACAGGUGGUGCAUGGUUGUCGUCAGCUCGUGUCGUGAGAUGUUGGGUUAAGUCCCGCAACGAGCGCAACCCUUAUGACUAGUUGCCAGCAUUUAGUUGGGCACUCUAGUAAGACUGCCGGUGACAAACCGGAGGAAGGUGGGGAUGACGUCAAAUCAUCAUGCCCCUUAUGACCUGGGCUACACACGUGCUACAAUGGAUGGUACAACGAGUUGCGAGACCGCGAGGUCAAGCUAAUCUCUUAAAGCCAUUCUCAGUUCGGACUGUAGGCUGCAACUCGCCUACACGAAGUCGGAAUCGCUAGUAAUCGCGGAUCAGCACGCCGCGGUGAAUACGUUCCCGGGCCUUGUACACACCGCCCGUCACACCAUGAGAGUUUGUAACACCCGAAGCCGGUGGCGUAACCC
rnacentral:rRNA from 1 species